CCCCCCCCGCUCCCAUAGGAUCCUAUAUUUCCAUAUAGGAGCAUAAACCCCCACCCCAAGUUGGCUCCUCAUGUUUUGUUGCCUGCGUUCACCCUUGGUUCUGGCUUAUUGGGAAUUAUUUGAGCUGGGGAGGCGUGUAUAUUUAUAUUUUUUGAGUAGGAAUAAAACAGGGUGCCUGUUCUGGGUGUUUAAAAUACAAAAAAAACGCCCCUCAGUACCAGUGUAUUGGUUGAAGCCUAGCAGAAGUGAAAAAAAAACGCGUGUUUAUUUACCUCCUGCUAUUUAAUUGUGAAGUCACAGUUUUAUAUGCGAAGUCAUAGCUUUCACUUAACACUUUUAACCUCCUUUAUUUUUUUUUAAUAGAAAAUUAGGGCUCUGCUAUAAUGCAGUAAGCCCAGGAGCUCUUCUGGGGCUGGGGGUGAUCCUCGCCCUCCCCAAAAAAAAAAAAUACCCCAAAAUCAUCUGUUAUAAAGGAUGGAGAGUCUGGGGUCUCUUAAGGAGCUGCCAGGAACUAGCCUCAAGCUGUAUUCCAGCUUAGUAAAUAAAUAAUAAUAUUGCAACUAACUGCAUAUUUGCCUUUCCAAAUGAAUUUCCUCCAGGCUUUUGAGGAGCCUUUUGGUUGUGGAGCACGCCGCCACCGCUUUCAAACCGAGGUUACUAUGUCUAAUCAGGAACGUGAAAACGAGGACCUGGAGCAGGAGGAUGUGCAAACCGACAGCCCGUUCUUUGCUGAUUUGGACAGAGGUGAACUCUCUAGUGAGAACGCCUUGAGGACGGACUCGCUCGCUCCUCUUCCCUGCCCCAGCGUGGAGGCAGCGGGAACGGCGCUGGAUGGCAAGUCAUCCACUUAUUUUGCAGCCCUGGAUUCCAACAUCGGAAA
rnacentral:lncRNA from 1 species